rnacentral:misc_RNA from 1 species
GAUGAAGAACGUAGCGAAAUGCGAUACGUAAUGUGAAUUACAGAAUUCAGUGAAUCAUCGAAUCUUUGAACGCAUAUUGCGCUCUCUGGUAUUCCGGAGAGCAUGCUUGUUUGAGUAUCAGUAAACACCUCAACUUCCAUAUCUUUUUUGAAAUGGGAGUUGGACUUGAGUGAUCCCAACGCUUUUCCUCACCGAAAAGUGGCGGGUUACUUGAAAUGCAGGUGCAGCUGGACUUUUCUCUGAGCUAUAAGCAUAUCUAUUUAGUCUGCCUAAAAAACAGAUUAUUACCUUUGCUGCAGCUAACAUAAAGGAGAUUAGUUCUUGUGCUGACUGAUGCAGGAUUCACAAAGACGGCUUCGGCCGACUUUGUAAACUCGAUCUCAAAUCAAGUAAGACUACCCGCUGAACUUAAGCAUAUCAAUAAGCGGAGGA